rnacentral:rRNA from 1 species
AACGAACGCUGGCGGCAGGCCUAACACAUGCAAGUCGAACGAGAUCUUCGGAUCUAGUGGCGGACGGGUGAGUAACGCGUGGGAACGUGCCCUUCUCUACGGAAUAGUCCUGGGAAACUGGGUUUAAUACCGUAUACGCCCUUCGGGGGAAAGAAUUUCGGGGAAGGAUCGGCCCGCGUUGGAUUAGGUAGUUGGUGGGGUAAUGGCCUACCAAGCCGACGAUCCAUAGCUGGUUUGAGAGGAUGAUCAGCCACACUGGGACUGAGACACGGCCCAGACUCCUACGGGAGGCAGCAGUGGGGAAUCUUGGACAAUGGGGGCAACCCUGAUCCAGCCAUGCCGCGUGCGUGAAGAAGGCCUUAGGGUUGUAAAGCGCUUUUAUCGGGGAUGAUAAUGACCGUACCGAUGAAUAAGCCCCGG